rnacentral:rRNA from 1 species
GACGAACGCUGGCGGCGUGCCUAGUACAUGCAAGUAGAACGCUGAAACUUGGUGCUUGCACCGAGCGGAUGAGUUGCGAACGGGUGAGUAACGCGUAGGUAACCUGCCUGGUAGCGGGGGAUAACUAUUGGAAACGAUAGCUAAUACCGCAUAAGAGUAGAUGUUGCAUGACAUUUGCUUAAAAGGUGCAAUUGCACCACUACCAGAUGGACCUGCGUUGUAUUAGCUAGUUGGUGGGGUAACGGCUCACCAAGGCGACGAUACAUAGCCGACCUGAGAGGGUGAUCGGCCACACUGGGACUGAGACACGGCCCAGACUCCUACGGGAGGCAGCAGUAGGGAAUCUUCGGCAAUGGACGGAAGUCUGACCGAGCAACGCCGCGUGAGUGAAGAAGGUUUUCGGAUCGUAAAGCUCUGUUGUAAGAGAAGAACGAGUGUGAGAGUGGAAAGUUCACACUGUGACGGUAUCUUACCAGAAAGGGACGGCUAACUACGUG